rnacentral:rRNA from 1 species
GACGAACGCUGGCGGCGUGCUUAACACAUGCAAGUCGAACGGAAAGGCCCUUCGGGGUACUCGAGUGGCGAACGGGUGAGUAACACGUGGGUGAUCUACCCUGCACUUUGGGAUAAGCCUGGGAAACUGGGUCUAAUACCGAAUAGGACCACGCGCUUCAUGGUGUGUGGUGGAAAGCUUUUGCGGUGUGGGAUGGGCCCGCGGCCUAUCAGCUUGUUGGUGGGGUAAUGGCCUACCAAGGCGACGACGGGUAGCCGGCCUGAGAGGGUGACCGGCCACACUGUGACUGAGAUACGGCCCAGACUCCUACGGGAGGCAGCAGUGGGGAAUAUUGCACAAUGGGCGCAAGCCUGAUGCAGCGACGCCGCGUGAGGGAUGACGGCCUUCGGGUUGUAAACCUCUUUCAAUAGGGACGAAGCGCAAGUGACGGUACCUAUAGAAGAAGCACCGGCCAACUACGUG